rnacentral:rRNA from 1 species
AGAGUUUGAUUAUGGCUCAGGAUGAACGCUGGCGGCGCGCUUAACACAUGCAAGUCGAACGAUUAAAGCACCUUCGGGUGUGCAUAGAGUGGCGAACGGCUGAGUAACACGUGGGCAACCUGCCCCCCGCACCGGGAUAGCCUCGGGAAACCGUGGGUAAUACCGGAUACUCCGCCCGCACCGCAUGGUGCGGGCGGGAAAGCACAUCAACGGCGGGGGAUGGGCCCGCGGCCUGUUAGCUCGUUGGCGGGGUAACGGCCCACCAAGGCGAUUAUGGGUAGCCGGGUUGAGAGACCGACCGGCCAGAUUGGGACUGAGACACGGCCCAGACUCCUACGGGAGGCAGCAGUGGGGAAUCUUGCACAAUGGGCGAAAGCCUGAUGCAGCGAACCGCCGCGUGCGGGAAGAAGGCAUUCGUGUUGUAAACCGCUUUCAGCAGGGACGAGGCGCAAGUGACGGUACCUGCAGAAGAAGCCCCGGCUAACUACGUGCCAGCAGCAGC